AGCUUGGUGUAAUGGUUUGAACAUUGGACUUUGACUCUGGAGACCAGGGUUCAAAUCCCAGCUCAGCUA